rnacentral:rRNA from 1 species
AGUCGAACGCCGUAGCAAUACGGAGUGGCAGACGGGUGAGUAACGCGUGGGAACCUUCCCAAUGGUACGGAAUAGCCCGGGGAAACCCGGAGUAAUACCGUAUACGCCCGUAAGGGGAAAGAUUUAUCGCCAUUGGAUGGGCCCGCGUCGGAUUAGCUAGUUGGUGGGGUAACGGCCUACCAAGGCGACGAUCCGUAGCUGGUCUGAGAGGAUGAUCAGCCACACUGGGACUGAGACACGGCCCAGACUCCUACGGGAGGCAGCAGUAGGGAAUAUUGGACAAUGGGCGAAAGCCUGAUCCAGCCAUGCCGCGUGAGUGACGAAGGCCUUCGGGUUGUAAAGCUCUUUUGGCGGGGACGAUAAUGACGGUACCCGCAGAAUAAGCCCCGGCUAACUUCGUGCCAGCAGCCGCGGUAAUACGAAGGGGGCUAGCGUUGUUCGGAAUCACUGGGCGUAAAGCGCACGUAGGCGGACUUUCAAGUCAGGGGUGAAAUCCCGGAGCUCAACUUCGGAAUUGCCUUUGAUACUGUUGGUCUCGAGUCCGGAAGAGGUGGGUGGAAUUCCUAGUGUAGAGGUGAAAUUCGUAGAUAUUAGGAAGAACACCGGUGGCGAAGGCGGCCCACUGGUCCGGUACUGACGCUGAGGUGCGAAAGCGUGGGGAGCAAAC